AUUGAACGCUGGCGGCAGGCCUAACACAUGCAAGUCGAGCGAAGCGGCGGAUGGGUGAGUAACGCGUGGGUAACCUGCACUUAAGUCUGGGAUACCAUUUGGAAACAGAUGAUAAUACCGGAUAAUAAAGGAUGGACCUGCGAUGCAUUAGCUAGUUGGUAAGGUAACGGCUUACCAAGGCGAUGCUGCAUAGCCGAGUUGAGAGACUGAUCGGCCACAUUGGGACUGAGACACGGCCCAAACUCCUACGGGAGGCAGCAGUAGGGAAUCUUCCACAAUGGACGAAAGUCUGAUGGAGCAACGCCGCGUGAGUGAAGAAGGUUUUCGGAUCGUAAAGCUCUGUUGUUGGUGAAGCGGUAAUCAACCAGAAAGUCACGGCUAACUACGUGCCAGCAGCCGCGGUAAUUC
rnacentral:rRNA from 1 species